rnacentral:rRNA from 1 species
GACGAACGCUGGCGGCGUGCUUAACACAUGCAAGUCGAGCGAUGAAACACCUUCGGGUGCGGAUUAGCGGCGAACGGGUGAGGAACACGUGAGGAAUCUGCCUUCCACUCUGGGAUAACUCCGGGAAACCGGGGCUAAUACCGGAUACUUUCAACUGGCGGCAUCGCCGGUUGAAGAAAGUUUUUCGGUGGAAGAUGACCUCGCGUCCUAUCAGCUUGUUGGUGAGGUAAAGGCUCACCAAGGCGACGACGGGUAGCCGGCCUGAGAGGGCGACCGGCCACACUGGGACUGAGACACGGCCCAGACUCCUACGGGAGGCAGCAGUGGGGAAUAUUGGGCAAUGGAGGAAACUCUGACCCAGCGACGCCGCGUGAGGGAUGAAGGCCUUCGGGUUGUAAACCUCUUUCAACAGGGAAUAAGCGAAAGUGAAGGUACCUGCAGAAGAAGCACCGGCUAACUAUGUGCCAGCCGCCGCGGUAACAC